rnacentral:rRNA from 1 species
CCUGGCUCAGGAUGAACGCUAGCGACAGGCUUAACACAUGCAAGUCGAGGGGCAGCACAGGUAGCAAUACCGGGUGGCGACCGGCGCACGGGUGAGUAACGCGUAUGCAACUUACCUAUCAGGGGGGGAUAACCCGGCGAAAGUCGGACUAAUACCGCAUGAAGCAGGGGUCCCGCAUGGGGAUAUUUGCUAAAGAUUCAUCGCUGAUAGAUAGGCAUGCGUUCCAUUAGGCAGUUGGCGGGGUAACGGCCCACCAAACCGACGAUGGAUAGGGGUUCUGAGAGGAAGGUCCCCCACAUUGGUACUGAGACACGGACCAAACUCCUACGGGAGGCAGCAGUGAGGAAUAUUGGUCAAUGGGCGUAAGCCUGAACCAGCCAAGUCGCGUGAGGGAUGAAGGUUCUAUGGAUCGUAAACCUCUUUUAUAAGGGAAUAAAGUGCGGGACGUGUCCCGUUUUGUAUGUACCUUAUGAAUAAGGAUCGGCUAACUCCGUGCCAGCAGCCGCGGUAAUACGGAGGAUUCGAGCGUUAUCCGGAUUUAUUGGGUUUAAAGGGUGCGUAGGCGGCCUUUUAAGUCAGCGGUGAAAGUCUGUGGCUCAACCAUAGAAUUGCCGUUGAAACUGGGGGGCUUGAGUAUGUUUGAGGCAGGCGGAAUGCGUGGUGUAGCGGUGAAAUGCUUAGAUAUCACGCAGAACCCCGAUUGCGAAGGCAGCCUGCCAAGCCAUGACUGACGCUGAUGCACGAAAGCGUGGGGAUCAAACAGGAUUAGAUACCCUGGUAGUCCACGCAGUAAACGAUGAUCACUAGCUGUUUGCGAUACAGUGUAAGCGGCACAGCGAAAGCGUUAAGUGAUCCACCUGGGGAGUACGCCGGCAACGGUGAAACUCAAAGGAAUUGACGGGGGCCCGCACAAGCGGAGGAACAUGUGGUUUAAUUCGAUGAUACGCGAGGAACCUUACCCGGGUUUGAACGCAUUCGGACCGAGGUGGAAACACCUUUUCUAGCAAUAGCCGUUUGCGAGGUGCUGCAUGGUUGUCGUCAGCUCGUGCCGUGAGGUGUCGGCUUAAGUGCCAUAACGAGCGCAACCCUUGCCACUAGUUACUAACAGGUUAGGCUGAGGACUCUGGUGGGACUGCCAGCGUAAGCUGCGAGGAAGGCGGGGAUGACGUCAAAUCAGCACGGCCCUUACAUCCGGGGCGACACACGUGUUACAAUGGCGUGGACAAAGGGAAGCCACCUGGCGACAGGGAGCGAAUCCCCAAACCACGUCUCAGUUCGGAUCGGAGUCUGCAACCCGACUCCGUGAAGCUGGAUUCGCUAGUAAUCGCGCAUCAGCCAUGGCGCGGUGAAUACGUUCCCGGGCCUUGCACACACCGCC